GAUGAACGCUGGCGGCGUGCCUAAUACAUGCAAGUCGAGCGAACAGACGAGGAGCUUGCUCCUCUGACGUUAGCGGCGGACGGGUGAGUAACACGUGUAUAACCUACCUAUAAGACUGGGAUAACUUCGGGAAACCGGAUCUAAUACCGUAUAAUAUAUUGCACCGCAUGGUUCAAUAGUGAAAUACGGUUUUGCUGGCUCUUCUAGAUGGAUCCGCGCCGGAUUAGCUAGUUGUUAAGGUAACGGCUUACGAAGGCAACGAUGCGUAGCCGACCUGAGAGGGUGAUCGGCCACACUGGAGCGGAGCCACGGUCCAGGGUCCUACGGGAGGCAGCAGUAGCGAACCUUCCGCAAUGGGCGAAAGCCUGACGGAGUAACGCCGCGCGAGUGACGAAGGUCCUCGGUUCGUAAAACUCUGUUAUUAGGGAAGAACCAAUGUGUAAGUAACUAUGCACGUCUUGACGGUAACUAAUAAGAAAGCAACGGCUAACUACGUG
rnacentral:rRNA from 1 species